UCCAGAGCUCCGCCGCCUCCCUAUGGAGUCGCCUUCAGGACUCAGUCUCCAAGCAAGCUUUCGAUACUCCUCUCAAUCGAUUCAACAUCCCCGAUCUCCACGUCGGAACCUUAGAUUCCCUUCUUGCCCUCAGUGAGAUGCACAAGGUAAUUGCGUGAGAUCUUGACUGAAUUUUGGGUUUUCAUGGUUUUGGUGUUGAUUCGCGAGAUCUGGCAGUCGAAUGCUAAUCCCAAUUAAAAUUGAAGCCAUAAGUAAAAGCAGAAGAUUCCAUGACAGCAACCUCCUCCUCUGCUUUCAAAAGCCCAUUCACCGUUCAAAAUUUUCGUGGCUAUAAGAGAAACCCAACUGUUAAUUUUGCCCUUCUCCAAACUUUCGUGGUUUGUCAAAGUUCCUUUCCCUCUGUGAGUCUCCUCUUUAGCUCGGUCUAAUUGUUUUUUAUUUUUUUUAUUUUUAAUCUCUUUGCUUAUUUUGAUUGAUUUGAAGACUUGAGUAGGGGCCAAAUUGAAGUUUCUGCUGCCGUUAUCCCUUUGUUUUGAUUGAUUUGUAUGUUUUAUGCUGCGAAGUUGAUUAAUUUAGUUGUUCAAGUGUCUCUCAGAGCCUGAUGAUUCUUUCAUUUUGUUUGCUCAUUUGAUUGACUUCGAAGGGGAUUUGGGUCAGCUUUCUCGGGCAAAGUGUUCCUUUUUAGCUGGAGAUUAUCAGUUUGGAAAUUAUAUUACUUAAUUUACCGUGGUUUGUUUUAGCCUUUCAAACUAGUCAUUGUGUGGCAAUAGCUUGUAAAUUUAGUUGCUAAGGUGGUUAUUCCUCUCUCGUCGUCGGAGCUCUCUCGCCGCCGCUCGAAGCUCUGUCGCUCCCUCCUCCUCUUCGGUGAAAACCUUAACUCCUCCUCCUGCAGCUACUACCGUUUGUACUACUCUACACUGAAAGGUACGUGAGUCUAUUUUUUUUGGCUUUCUCUUUAUUUAGCUAAACCUCCUAAAUCACAUUAAAUAGCUACGGUGUUUGCUGCUUCAGUUGAUGUAUCACAUAUGCAUAAUUGUUUGCUUCAGCUUGAUAUGAGUAACCUUGCUCAGUUCCCUCCUACUUCAGGUAGUUAUGUUUGUUAAAUUCAGUAAGACUAAAAGAUCAAGCUCUCAAUUAUUAUGCAUGUCGACAACGGGGUUUGUAUUUAAAUAUUUAGAGUUUUCCUUAAAUAUAAAGGAAUGGAACCGUUACACAUUUCCACAAGAGUACAUCCAAAACUCCAAGCAUCUGACUCCUCAGAUAUACUACCAAUUGCAUCAUCCCAAAAUCGAUUCAAAGAUUUUUUUUAUUGGCUCCCAUGCCUCUGGAGCAGUAUAAUGUGGACUUAACAAUGUACAAUCCUAUGCAGAAUUUACUUAUUCAGAUGAAUACACAAGUCAACUUUGCCCGUGCUUCUCCAUGAGGUGGAGAUAAUCCCACAUUUGCUUUUGAAAAUGAUAUUUCUCUAAAGAAAAACGAAGGGGAUCAACCGGUAUGUCAUUAUGGUGAGUGAAUAUUGACUUUAUCUCAUUUCUUAGUUUUCAAGAGACCCCUAAACUAGGUAUCAUUAAGUGCUUACAUGUCAAUUUACUUGGGAUAUGGCAUUAAACUGUAACGUACAUAGACCUGAGUCGAUAUUGAAGAUUCUCUUCAGCUACAAAGGUUGAUAACAAGAAAUGUGCUAUAAUGUGAUUAUAAUUGUUUUCAGCGAAAGUUGACUCCAUUGUCGAUUCCAUUAAACUUUGAUUUGUUUACA